UGGGGAAUAUUGCACAAUGGGCGAAAGCCUGAUGCAGCGACGCCGCGUGCGGGAUGAAGGCCUUCGGGUUGUAAACCGCUUUUGAUUGGGGAGCAAGCGAGAGUGAGUGUACCUUUCGAAUAAGCACCGGCUAACUACGUGCCAGCAGCCGCGGUAAUACGUAGGGUGCAAGCGUUAUCCGGAAUUAUUGGGCGUAAAGAGCUCGUAGGCGGUUUGUCGCGUCUGGUGUGAAAGUCCAUCGCUUAACGGUGGAUCUGCGCCGGGUACGGGCAGGCUAGAGUGCGACAGGGGAGACUGGAAUUCCCGGUGUAACGGUGGAAUGUGUAGAUAUCGGGAAGAACACCAAUGGCGAAGGCAGGUCUCUGGGUCGUCACUGACGCUGAGGAGCGAAAGCGUGGGGAGCGAACAGGAUUAGAUACCCUGGUAGUCCACGCCGUAAACGGUGGAUGCUGGAUGUGGGGCCCAUUCCACGGGUUCCGUGUCGGAGCUAACGCGUUAAGCAUCCCGCCUGGGGAGUACGGCCGCAAGGCUAAAACUCUAAAGUGAAUUGAC
rnacentral:rRNA from 1 species